UACGUAGGGGGCAAGCGUUGUCCGGAAUCAUUGGGCGUAAAGAGCGUGUAGGCGGCCAGAAAAGUCCGCUGUGAAAACUCGAGGCUCAACUUCGAGCUGUCGGUGGAAACUUUCUGGCUAGAGUCCGGAAGAGGAGAAUGGAAUUCCUGGUGUAGCGGUGAAAUGCGUAGAUAUCAGGAGGAACACCGGUGGCGAAGGCGCUCAUCUGGCCCAAUACUGACGCUGAGGCGCGAAAGCUAGGGGAGCAAACGGG
rnacentral:rRNA from 1 species